rnacentral:rRNA from 1 species
CGCGACCCCAGGUCAAGCGGGAUCACCCACUGAGUUUAAGCAUAUCAAUAAGCGAAGGAAAAGAAACUUACCAAGAUUCCCCUAGUAAUGACGAGCGAACUGAGAAGAGCCCAGCUUGAGAAUUGGGCACCCUCGACAUCUGAAUUAUAGUCUGGAGAAACGUCUUCAACGGCAGACCGGGCCCAAGUCCCCUAGAAAUGGGCACCGAAGAGGGUGAGAGCCCCAUUGUGCUCGGACCUUAUAGUACCACGAGGCGCUGUCUGCGAGUCAGGUUGUUUGGGAAUGUAGCCCUAAUCAGGCGGUAAAUUUCAUCCAAGGCUAAAUACGGGCGAGAGAUCGAUAGCGAACAAGUACAGCAAGGGAAAGAUGAAAAAGACUUUGAAAAGAGAGUCAAAAAGUGCUUGAAAUUGUCAGGAGGGAAGUAGAUGGGGGCUGGCGAUGCACCCCGAUCGGAUGUGGAAUGACGAAAGCUGGUCCACCAAUUGGCUAGGGGCAUGGAUCGACACGGGUCGCGGCGGUAGCCCAAGCCUGAGCUUUCGAUGUGCCCAUGGAGAUGUCAUCGCCACGAUCGUGGAAUGCAGCACACGCCGUCUUGGUGUGCCCCGGCACCAGCAUGCUCCAAGCGUUGGCCUGCGGGCUCCCCAUCCGGCCCGUCUUGAAACACAGACUAAAGAGUCUGACAUGUGUGUGAGUCAAUGGACCAGAAAACCCGUAAGAUGCAAGGAAGCUGAUUGGUAGGAUCCCUCGCGGGUGCACUACCGAUCGACCUUGAUCUUCUGAGAAGGGUUCGAGUGCGAGCAUGCCCGUCAGGACCCGAAAGAUGGUGAACUAUGCCUGAACGGGGCGAAGCUAGAGGAAACUCUGGAGGAGGCCCACAACGAUACUGACGUGUAAAUCGUUCAUCUGACUUGGGUAUAGGGGUGAAAGACUAAUCGAACCGUCUAGUAGCUGGUUCCUUUCAAAGUUUCCCUCAGGAUAGUUGAAGCCCCCGUCGAGUUCUAUCGGGUAAAGCCAAUGAUUAGAGGCAUCAGGGGUGCAAUGCCCUCGACCUAUUCUCAAACUUUAAAUAGGUAGGACAGCACAGUUGCUCCGUUGAGUCAUGCCAUGGAAUCGAGAGCUCCAAGUGGGCCAUUUUUGGUAAGCAGAACUAGCGAUGCGAGAUGAACUGAAAGCCAGGUUACGGUGCCUAACAACGUGUUAACCCAGAACCAAUAAAGGGUGUUGGUUGAUUAAGACAGUAGGAUGGUGGUCAUGGAAGUCGAAAUUCGCUAAGGAGUGUGUAACAACUCACUUGCCGAAUCAACUAGCCCCAAAAAUGGAUGGCACUUAAGCACACGACCUAUACCCAACCAUCGAGGCAAGGGCCAGGCCUCGAUGAGUAGGAGGGCACGAUGGUCACCCUAAAACCUGGGGCGCGAGCUCGGGCUGAGCGGUCAUCGAUGCAGAUCUUGGUGGUAGUAGCAAAUAUUCAAAUGAGAACUUUGAAGGCUGAAGAGGGAAAGGUUCCAUGUGAACGGCACUUACACAUGGGUUAGUCGAUCCUAAGAGACGGGGGAAGCCCGUCCGAUAGCGCGUCCCGUGUGAGCUUUGAAAGGUAAUCCGGUUAAAAUUCUUGAACUAGGACGUGACGGUUCAAGGCAACAUUAGGGAGUCCGGAGACGUCGGUGGAGGCCUUAGAAAAAGUUAUUUUUUCUGUUUAACGGCCCGUCCACCCUGGAAAUGGCUCAGCCGGAGGUAGGGCCCAGCAGCUGGAAAUCACCGCAAGUCGACGUGUAUCCGGUGCGCCCCGACGGCCUUAAUCUAGAGGCCGAGUGCUGUCCACUUCCGAUCAUACUCAUAACCAUAUAGGUCUCUAAAGUGAACACCAUUUGUCGAUGGAACAAUGUAGGUAAGAGAAGUUGGCAACAGUGGAUUCGUAACCUCAGAUAGAGUUGCUUCUGAGGGCUAGCAACGGGUCCAUAGUCCCACCCAUGGCUAUCCGUGCCUACGACGAGCUAAUUUCAUCGAGAGUUCAUCGAUCCUACCGGGGAGGACUGGGAACCGUGAUCGAGGGCUUCUCGAGCGACAACAGUCGCGCAGACUGGUAUGAUAAGGGGAAUCCGAUUGUUUAAUUAAAACAAAGCAUUGCGAUGGUCCUGCGGAUGCUCACGUAAUGUGAUUUCUGCCAGUGCUCUGAAUGUCAAGUGAAGAAAUUCAACCAAGCGCGGGUAAACGGCAAGAGUAACUAUGACUCUCUUAAGGUAGCCAAAUGCCUCGUCAUGUAAUUAGUGACGCGUAUGAAUGGAUUAACGAGAUUCCCACUGUCCCUGUCUACUAUCCAGUGAAACAAUAGCCAAGGGAACGGGCUUAGUAGAAUCAAUGGGGAAAGAAGACCCUAUUGAGCUUGACUCUAGUCUGACUUUGUGAAAUGACUUGAGAGGUGUAGGAUAAGUGGAAGCCUCCAGGCGAAAUUGAAAUACCACUACUUUUAACGUUAUUUUACUUAUUCCAUGAAUCGGAGGUGGGGCACGACCCUUCUUUUGGACCCAAGGCCGAUCUCAGUCGAUCGAUCCGGGCAAAAGACAUUGUCAGGUGGGGAGUUUGGCUAGGGUGGCACAUCUGUUAAAAGAAAACGUAGGUGUCCUAAAAGGAGCUCAACGAGAAUAGAAAUCUCGUGUGGAAUAAAAGGGUAAAAACUCAUUUGAUUUUGAUUUCCAGUACGAAUACAAACCGUGAAAGCAUGGCCUAUCGAUCCUUUAGACUUUCAAGAUUUGAAGCUAGAGGUGUCAGAAAAGUUACCACAGGGAUAAUUGGCUUGUGGCAACCAAGCGUUCAUAGCGGUGUUACUUUUUGAUCCUUUGAUGUCGGCUCUUCCUAUCAUUGUGAAGCAGAAUUCACCAAGUAUUGGAUUGUUCACCCACCAAUAGGGAACGUGAGCUGGGUUUAGACCGUCAUGAGACAAGUUAGUUUUUCCCUACUGAUGGCAGCGUCAUGAUUGUAAUUCAACCUAGUACGAGAGGAACCAUUGAUUUGCACAAUUGGUCAUCGUGCUUGGUUGAAAAGCCAGUGGCAUGAAGCUACCAUGCAUUGGAUUAUGACUGAAUCCCUCUAAGUCAGAAUCUGGACUAGAAGUGACGCGCGCGCCCGUCGCUCGAUUGUCGACCCGUAGUAAGGGCCCAUGGCCCCUAAGGGCACGUGUCGUAGGUGCAGCCCCCACGGCGGAUGAGCCGCGCAGGCCUCCUUGGAGUACAAUUCCCCAUCGAGUGAUGGGUAGAAUCCUUUGCAGAUGACUUAAAUACGUAACGGGGUAUUGUAGUGGCAGAGUGGCCUUGUUGCCACGAUCCAUUGAGCUUCAGCCCUUUGUUGCUUCGAUUCGU